GUGGUGGCCGAGUGGUAAUGCAUGCCACCGCAAGUUUUUAGGUCGGCGGUUCGAACCCUGG
rnacentral:tRNA from 1 species